UUAAAAAAAUGGAAAAUAAGUGAAGGAUUUAACGUGGAGCGUUUGCUUUGCUGCAUCAGAGAUGAAGGUUUGACCGAUUUCACGUCAAGCACAGGAGCCCUACCACAAAUGCUGGAGAGUGCCGUCAAAUCCAGCAGUGAAGAUGAACAUCUAAGGGGACUCCCACAAUGGCUUGAGUACUAAUGCUGCUCAGAUAUGCUGUGUGUAUGGAAAGACUGAGGAGUUGAAAGCUGAUUCUACCCUGGAAAGGAGUAAUUUUCUCUUUUAGAGGGGAUGGAAGACCAAGCAGAUACUAUAUUAAAAAGUGCUACACAAUGAUGGUUGUUCUUGCAUAUCUUCUGCCACCAUUGCCUGGAAGUAGAUGCAAUGUUAAAUCUGAAAUUUCAUUUCUUUCAAUUUAAUUUUGUACCGCGUGGAGCCACUAUUGCAUCCCUCUGCAGCAGUUUUGAGACCGCAUCAAAGACCAGACCACAGCCGAUCUACAUUGGAAGUUUGAAGAGCACAACAUGACAGUACAUCAUUACGAGGAUUGACAGAGUAACCAUUCCUGUGGAUGAGGGCCUGAUGUGCUGUGGACAGUAUAUUCUAGGUGUGAAACUUGUCCUGUCCACCACAGAUUAGUUUGGUCUUUUCUUUCUAAGACUGGAGCAUCUAAUAUUGAAACACCACAUUCUCUUCUUUUUAAAACUGACACGGUUUCGCUAGAAAACAACCUCUUCUUCAGCUGUGAUCGCGUACAGCCCGUUUAAACACUUCAAAGACUUUUGAAACUGCAUUGAUUUGGACUUAAAAACGAUGGUAACCAAUGAACUCCAUUGUUAGAAGAAAAAUCCAGAAAUGUUUUCCUCAAAAAACAAAAUUUCUCUCCCACUGAGGAAAGAAAGACAUGGAUAUCUUGGAUGGCAUUGGGUGAGUAAAUUAUUAGGAAAUUUUCUUUUUGGGGUGAACUAAUCCUUUAAGCAUACAAUGAACACUCACAGUAGCUUUUAGUCAAUAUAAAUCGUUAUGUUAUCUUUUGUUAUGUUAUGUUCUUACACUGCAGUAAGUAAUGCAUUCAUAAAGUGAUUCUCUAUUAAAGUUGUUUAAAUGUGAAAAACUUUGUUUAUUAAAGUUUAUUGCAAACGAA